GGUUAAGCGACUAAGCGUACACGGUGGAUGCCCUGGCAGUCAGAGGCGAUGAAGGACGUGCUAAUCUGCGAUAAGCGUCGGUGAGGUGAUAUGAACCGUUAUAACCGGCGAUUUCCGAAUGGGGAAACCCAGUGUGUUUCGACACACUAUCAUUAACUGAAUCCAUAGGUUAAUGAGGCGAACCGGGGGAACUGAAACAUCUAAGUACCCCGAGGAAAAGAAAUCAACCGAGAUUCCCCCAGUAGCGGCGAGCGAACGGGGAGGAGCCCAGAGCCUGAAUCAGUGUGUGUGUUAGUGGAAGCGUCUGGAAAGGCGCGCGAUACAGGGUGACAGCCCCGUACACAAAAAUGCACAUAUUGUGAGCUCGAUGAGUAGGGCGGGACACGUGGUAUCCUGUCUGAAUAUGGGGGGACCAUCCUCCAAGGCUAAAUACUCCUGACUGACCGAUAGUGAACCAGUACCGUGAGGGAAAGGCGAAAAGAACCCCGGCGAGGGGAGUGAAAAAGAACCUGAAACCGUGUACGUACAAGCAGUGGGAGCCUCUUAAUGGGGUGACUGCGUACCUUUUGUAUAAUGGGUCAGCGACUUAUAUUCUGUAGCAAGGUUAACCGAAUAGGGGAGCCGAAGGGAAACCGAGUCUUAACUGGGCGUUAAGUUGCAGGGUAUAGACCCGAAACCCGGUGAUCUAGCCAUGGGCAGGUUGAAGGUUGGGUAACACUAACUGGAGGACCGAACCGACUAAUGUUGAAAAAUUAGCGGAUGACUUGUGGCUGGGGGUGAAAGGCCAAUCAAACCGGGAGAUAGCUGGUUCUCCCCGAAAGCUAUUUAGGUAGCGCCUCGUGAAUUCAUCUCCGGGGGUAGAGCACUGUUUCGGCAAGGGGGUCAUCCCGACUUACCAACCCGAUGCAAACUGCGAAUACCGGAGAAUGUUAUCACGGGAGACACACGGCGGGUGCUAACGUCCGUCGUGAAGAGGGAAACAACCCAGACCGCCAGCUAAGGUCCCAAAGUCAUGGUUAAGUGGGAAACGAUGUGGGAAGGCCCAGACAGCCAGGAUGUUGGCUUAGAAGCAGCCAUCAUUUAAAGAAAGCGUAAUAGCUCACUGGUCGAGUCGGCCUGCGCGGAAGAUGUAACGGGGCUAAACCAUGCACCGAAGCUGCGGCAGCGACGCUUAUGCGUUGUUGGGUAGGGGAGCGUUCUGUAAGCCUGUGAAGGUGUGCUGUGAGGCAUGCUGGAGGUAUCAGAAGUGCGAAUGCUGACAUAAGUAACGAUAAAGCGGGUGAAAAGCCCGCUCGCCGGAAGACCAAGGGUUCCUGUCCAACGUUAAUCGGGGCAGGGUGAGUCGACC
rnacentral:rRNA from 1 species